UAAAGCCGCAUCAAAGCUUCAGGAAGGGGCUGGCAGGGCGCCCUGCGUCCGGCAGAGGAGGCGAGCAUCCCCGCUCAGGUGAUGAGGAACCCCUCGCGCACCCAGCGCAGAAGGCUGCUGCCGCCGGACGCCUCCAUUGUUUGACCACAACAAGGGCCGGAUUCUCACCCAGCAGGAUCCUAAGGCCUUUGUAGUCCUUCAGCCACUGUGGCCCCUGCCUCUGCCUGUUCUUCUGGAAUGUCUUGGGGGUUUUGAUCCUGUCACUGUGACCUGCAAAUCCAAGAGACACAUCUUUGGAAGAUAAGAGAGCUUCUUCAAGACCAAAAAAGGAGACGGCAUGAUACCCAUGUAGGGAAUUCCCCAAAGCAGGGCUUGCCAUACCUGGACCCCGAGGAGCCUGCUUGCUGGAAAGGCUUUCCUGUCUGAUGUGCAAGAGGCAGAAUGCCAAACUGACUCUUCAAGGGGCAACUGCAGGGGCUCGAGACCAGCCAGCAGUAUCUCAUCCUUCGAUACAGGGCAUAUACUGUACAGUCCUUUUUCUAGAAGUGAGACGUACAAGAUUACUCUACAAGAGGAAGAUUCCAGGGGCUCA
rnacentral:sRNA from 1 species